rfam:Sphingomonas sp. SCN 67-18 ABS87_C0042, whole genome shotgun sequence.
GGGCAAGAUAGGUGAUGGAGGCAUCCACGCAAGCGCGGACACCCCCAUCACUCCCCUUAUUCGCGCCGGGGGCGCUCAACGGGAUUCUUGCUCUGCGAGGCC